ensembl:snoRNA
GCAGUGAUGACUUUUUUUGGCAUUGAUCGUGUGAAAUGAUGGUGCUUUCAUGUCCUCUAAGAAGUUCUGAGCUU